GUUGACCGUAAACAGUUAAUCUUGCACUAUACAAUUCAUGGCAAAUAUUCGACAAAGCUCUGCGGCACCUUUUCGAGUUCCUAGACCAACCCUUCAUUCAGAUGUGGAGGAAAUAAGCUCAACCCAAGCGGAUCCUAAUUCUAGGAAUCGUCAAAUACGUUGGAGUGAUGCAAUGGACGGUUGUAUGAUAAUUGCACUACUACAUCAAGUGUUGUCUAGUCACAAAAGAAGUGACAAUGGCUUUUCAUCAUUUCACGUGUCCAAAGCAAUCGAGAGUGUGCACAAUGGAUGCGGAGUGAUGGUGUCUGAUAAGAAUGUGAGGGCGCGAUUGAAAACUCUGAAAAAAGAAUAUGUUGAAGUUCGUCAGUUGUUAAGCAUGAGUGGUUUUGGGUUAGAUCCUCACACUGGACGUGUCACAGCCGUGUACUAGCUUGGGAGGAUUUGUUGAAGGUACAAAAUUUCAUUGACCAAUGAAAGUAUUAUUCCUUAAAUAUUACUAAUAUAAUUUAUUGUGCCUCCUAACUAGCGUAAAACAUAUUUCACUCUUUUUCUUGUAGGGCAAAGCAGAAUUUGGAAAGUGGAGGACCAAACUUUGUUCUCGUUAUGAUGAUUUGGAGGCUAUUUUUGGAAAUGAUUCUACUACAGGAGAUCGUGCUGUAACCGGCAAUGACAUUUUAUCCCCCGAUCAUGGUACGUACUAGAUCAGACAUAAAAAUUUAUAUAAUUCUUAUUAUAUUAGAGAUUCUAACAAUUUCUUAUUUUACUAUUUUUUAGAUGAAACUGUGCAUGAAGUUGAUGGUCAAAAUGAGGAUACGGAUCCAAGCCCCAUUCGCGCUCCUAAGCGUAAUGCCGAAGGAGGAACUAACAAAGUUCGCGGUCGACAUACCCAAUCUAAUGAUGAGAGUCUCGUUGCCCUAUCAAGCAUUGCCGAAUCAUCCAAAAAAAUUGCUAUCGCUAUGGAGACUCAAGCAACAUUAGAUACGCUAAACCACAUCAAUUGGCAGUUGGUUCUAAAAAAAUUACAAGGCAUGCGUAUAGAAAAGCGUGACAUAAUGCAAGUAAUGAAAAUAUUUCGAUCGGAUGAGAGUCUGGCUAGAGUAUUUAUGAGUUUGACUGAUGAAGAAUUCAUGCGUGAUUUAGUAUUUGAGAAUCUGGGCCGUGAUCC
rnacentral:lncRNA from 1 species